rnacentral:rRNA from 1 species
GAUGAACGCUGGCGGCGUGCCUAAUACAUGCAAGUCGAGCGAACGGACGAGAAGCUUGCUUUUCUGAUGUUAGCGGCGGACGGGUGAGUAAUACGUGGAUAACCUACCUAUAAGACUGGGAUAACUUCGGGAAACCGGAUCUAAUACCGGAUAAUAUUUUGAACCGCAUGGUUCAAAAGUGAAAGACGGUCUUGCUGUCACUUAUAGAUGGAUCCGCGCUGCAUUAGCUAGUUGGUAAGGUAACGGCUUACCAAGGCAACGAUGCAUAGCCGACCUGAGAGGGUGAUCGGUCACACUGGAACUGAGACACGGUCCAGACUCCUACGGGAGGCAGCAGUAGGGAAUCUUGCGCAAUGGGCGAAAGCCUGACGGAGCAACGCCGCGUGAGUGAUGAAGGUCUUCGGAUCGUAAAACUCUGUUAUUAGGGAAGAACAUAUGUGUAAGUAACUGUGCACAUCUUGACGGUACCUAAUCAGAAAGCCACGGCUAACUACGUG